UUAGGCCUGGGGCCAAAUAAAAAAAAAAUUUAUUAAAAAUUGAUAUAUUUUAAAUAUUAAUUAUUCAUAGCAGAUUGAAAGAGGAGGAUUGAAGAGAUUUACUUGACUUUUUGACGGAUUUUGAUCUGAUUUUUGACGUCCAAAAUAAGGAAGAAUCACCGAUGGACAGCAGAAUAGAAUGAAAAGAUCGGAGACGGAGGAGGAGGCGGGAGAGAGGAGCUACAGAUUGUGAGAGGGAGAAAACGUUUGAUUUAUCCAAAAAAGCCAUUGGGGUGCUGGGACUCGGGAGAGGAAGAAGGCGUUUGGUUUAUCCAGAUAAAAGAAAAAAAAAA
rnacentral:lncRNA from 1 species